rnacentral:rRNA from 1 species
UACGUAGGUGGCAAGCGUUGUCCGGAAUUAUUGGGCGUAAAGCGCGCGCAGGCGGUCCUUUAAGUCUGAUGUGAAAGCCCACGGCUCAACCGUGGAGGGUCAUUGGAAACUGGGGGACUUGAGUGCAGAAGAGGAGAGUGGAAUUCCACGUGUAGCGGUGAAAUGCGUAGAGAUGUGGAGGAACACCAGUGGCGAAGGCGACUCUCUGGUCUGUAACUGACGCCUGAGGAGCGAAAGCCAGGGGAGCAAACGGG